GGAAGUGCUGGAGCUCAAUGGUAGAGCACCUGCCUUGCAUGAAGAAGGUCACAGGUUCAAUCCCCAGCAUCUCCA